rfam:Picea glauca, whole genome shotgun sequence.
AUGUACAUUCCUACAACAUAACAUUAAUGCAUCGGAUCCCAUUAGAACUUCCUAGUUAAGCGCGCUCAGGCUAGAGUAGUACUGGGAUGGGUGACCACUCGGAAAGUCCUAGUGUUUUACAUG